UACGAAGGGGACUAGCGUUGUUCGGAAUCACUGGGCGUAAAGCGCACGUAGGCGGAUUUGUAAGUCAGGGGUGAAAUCCCGGGGCUCAACCUCGGAACUGCCUUUGAUACUGCGGAUCUUGAGUCCGAUAGAGGUGGGUGGAAUUCCUAGUGUAGAGGUGAAAUUCGUAGAUAUUAGGAAGAACACCGGUGGCGAAGGCGGCCCACUGGAUCGGUACUGACGCUGAGGUGCGAAAGCGUGGGGAGCGAACAGG
rnacentral:rRNA from 1 species